rnacentral:misc_RNA from 1 species
GCCAAACAGCAUACUUGGGCUUUCACAUGGAUUCCUCCUUGGCCAUUUGCAGUCAAUGGGCCUUGACUUCCCAAAGAACAUUAGUGUGAUUGCUGUAUGUCCCAAGGGAAUGGGGCCUUCAGUCAGGAGAUUAUAUGUUCAAGGAAAAGAAGUCAAUGGUGCUGGAAUUAAUUCAAGUUUUGCAGUUCACCAGGAUAUUGAUGGAAGAGCCACAGAUGUUGCUCUUGGGUGGUCUGUUGCCCUUGGUUCUCCUUUUACUUUUGCUACUACUCUAGAGCAGGAAUAUAAAAGUGACAUUUUUGGGGAACGAGGCAUUUUACUUGGUGCUGUCCAUGGAGUUGUGGAGUCGCUUUUCAGAAGGUACACUGAGAACGGAAUGAAUGAGGAGCUUGCAUACAAGAACACUGUAGAAUGCAUAACAGGAGUCAUUUCAAAAACCAUAUCAACAAAGGGCAUGUUGGCUGUGUACGACUCAUUGACUGAGGAGGGCAAGAAGGAGUUUGAAGCUGCAUACAGUGCUUCAUUCUACCCCUGCAUGGAGAUUUUGUAUGAGUGCUAUGAAGAUGUAGCUACAGGUAGCGAGAUCAGGAGCGUUGUCUUGGCUGGCCGCCGCUUUUAUGAAAAGGAGGGCUUACCUGCCUUCCCAAUGGGGAAAAUUGAUCAAACAAGGAUGUGGAAGGUUGGUGAGCGCGUCCGAGCAACCCGACCAGCUGGUGAUCUUGGUCCUCUGUAUCCAUUCACCGCUGGUGUCUUUGUGGCAUUGAUGAUGGCCCAGAUUGAGGUUCUGAGGAAGAAAGGCCACUCUUACUCAGAGAUCAUAAACGAAAGUGUCAUUGAGUCUGUUGAUUCCCUGAAUCCUUUCAUGCAUGCACGUGGAGUGUCUUUCAUGGUUGACAAUUGCUCUACAACAGCGCGUUUGGGAUCUAGAAAGUGGGCUCCUCGAUUUGAUUACAAUCUCACCCAGCAAGCACUGGUGGCAGUCGACAAUAACCUGCCAAUCAAUAUGGCCCUUAUGACCGAUUUCGUAUGUGAUCCUGUCCAUGAAGCUAUUGAAGUUUGUGCCCGAUUGAGACCUACUGUCGACAUUUCAGUUCCUGCAGAUGCUGACUUUGUCCGUCCCGAGCUCAGACAAACUGUCAACUAAGGUUCUUUGUCUGUCAUUUCUAUUGAGAAUGAGUAUGGCAUUAGGCAGUGCCAUGUUUAGUCUGAUCGAGCAUUUUCAAAGGUAGAGAUCGUUUCUGUAUGCUGUGCUUUUUGGGGUGUAAGGAGAUCUACUUAAUAACAUAUUUCUGUUGGUAAAAAAAAAAAACCUUUUUCUGUACUAUGGAAUUUUAUGUACUUUUGCAGAUUAACUGAAUAAAAACUCAGUUUGGAGUCUCUUUA